UCCUUCGGCUAUAUUUACAAU
ensembl:piRNA 21ur-4730 ncRNA